GACGAACGCUGGCGGCGUGCUUAACACAUGCAAGUCGAACGGAAAGGCCCUGCUUUUGUGGGGUGCUCGAGUGGCGAACGGGUGGGUAACACGUGAGUAACCUGCCCUUGACUUUGGGAUAACUUCAGGAAACUGGGGCUAAUACCGGAUAGGAGCUCCUGCUGCAUGGUGGGGGUUGGAAAGUUUCGGCGGUUGGGGAUGGACUCGCGGCUUAUCAGCUUGUUGGUGGGGUAGUGGCUUACCAAGGCUUUGACGGGUAGCCGGCCUGAGAGGGUGAUCGGCCACAUUGGGACUGAGAUACGGCCCAGACUCCUACGGGAGGCAGCAGUGGGGAAUAUUGCACAAUGGGCGGAAGCCUGAUGCAGCAACGCCGCGUGCGGGAUGACGGCCUUCGGGUUGUAAACCGCUUUCGCCUGUGACGAAGCGUGAGUGACGGUAAUGGGUAAAGAAGCACCGGCUAACUACGUG
rnacentral:rRNA from 1 species